GCGCUUCGCUCUUUUCCUUGGCAGUCCCCGGCUGGGUGCGCUCGGAUCUCGCCUGGUAUCUGUGCGUGGGCUGGGACGGAGCCGUGAGAUGCUGGAACCACUGAAGCAUGAGCCUGGCAUUGCUCACUUGCUUUCCCCGCAGGAUGAGGAGCUGGUGCCCCUGUCCUGGAGAUUGCCUGCUUUCACCCGCGGCGGAGUCCGGCAGGCGAGUGCGAGAUGUUGCUCUACUCAGCCCAUAAGCAGGAGUGACCGUCUGUUGCAGAGCAGGGCCCGUCUGGAGGCGCCCUUCAGAACCAGAGCAGUUGCUGAGAUCUCUGGCCUGCUGGAUGGAAUGAAGUAG
rnacentral:lncRNA from 1 species